rnacentral:rRNA from 1 species
UAUAGCAUUAUACGGCGAAACUGCGAAUGGCUCAUUAUAUAAGUUAUCGUUUAUUUGAUAGUACCUUACUACUUGGAUAACCGUGGUAAUUCUAGAGCUAAUACAUGCUGAAAAUCCCGACUUACGGAGGGAUGUAUUUAUUAGAUUAAAAACCAAUGCCCUCUGGGCUCUCUGGUGAUUCAUGAUAACUUCUCGAAUCGCACGGCCUUGCGCCGGCGAUGGUUCAUUCAAAUUUCUUCCCUAUCAACUUUCGAUGUUUGGGUAGUGGCCAAACAUGGUUGCAACGGGUAACGGAGGGUUAGGGCUCGACCCCGGAGAAGGAGCCUGAGAAACGGCUACUACAUCCAAGGAAGGCAGCAGGCGCGCAAAUUACCCAAUCCCGACACGGGGAGGUAGUGACAAUAAAUACUGAUACAGGGCUCUUUUGGGUCUUGUAAUUGGAAUGAGUACAAUUUAAAUCCCUUAACGAGGAACAAUUGGAGGGCAAGUCUGGUGCCAGCAGCCGCGGUAAUUCCAGCUCCAAUAGCGUAUAUUAAAGUUGUUGUGGUUAAAAAGCUCGUAGUUGAACCUUGGGCCUGGCUGGCCGGUCCGCCUCACCGCGUGCACUGGUCCGGCCGGGCCUUUCCCUCUGCGGAACCCCAUGCCCUUCACUGGGCGUGGCGGGGAAACAGGACUUUUACUUUGAAAAAAUUAGAGUGCUCCAGGCAGGCCUAUGCUCGAAUACAUUAGCAUGGAAUAAUGAAAUAGGACGUGCGGUUCUAUUUUGUUGGUUUCUAGGACCGCCGUAAUGAUUAAUAGGGACAGUCGGGGGCAUCAGUAUUCAAUUGUCAGAGGUGAAAUUCUUGGAUUUAUUGAAGACUAACUACUGCGAAAGCAUUUGCCAAGGAUGUUUUCAUUAAUCAGAACGAAAGUUAGGGAUCGAAGACGAUCAGAUACCGUCGUAGUCUUAACCAUAAACUAUGCCGACUAGGGAUCGGACGAUGUUAUUAUUUGACUCGUUCGGCACCUUACGAGAAAUCAAAGUGCUUGGGCUCCAAGGGGGAGUAUGGUCGGCA